rnacentral:rRNA from 1 species
UACGUAGGGUGCAAGCGUUAUCCGGAAUUAUUGGGCGUAAAGAGCUCGUAGGCGGUUUGUCGCGUCUGCUGUGAAAACUGGAGGCUCAACCUCCAGCCUGCAGUGGGUACGGGCAGACUAGAGUGCGGUAGGGGAGAUUGGAAUUCCUGGUGUAGCGGUGGAAUGCGCAGAUAUCAGGAGGAACACCAAUGGCGAAGGCAGAUCUCUGGGCCGUUACUGACGCUGAGACGCGAAAGCGUGGGGAGCAAACAGG